GAUGAACGCUGGCGGCGUGCCUAAUACAUGCAAGUCGAGCGAACAGACGAGGAGCUUGCUUCUUCGACGUUAGCGGCGGACGGGUGAGUAACACGUAGGUAACCUACCUAUAAGACUGGGAUAACUUCGGGAAACCGGAGCUAAUACCGGAUAAUAUUUCGAACCGCAUGGUUCGAUAGUGAAAGAUGGCUUUGCUAUCACUUAUAGAUGGACCUGCGCCGUAUUAGCUAGUUGGUAAGGUAACGGCUUACCAAGGCAACGAUACGUAGCCGACCUGAGAGGGUGAUCGGCCACACUGGAACUGAGACACGGUCCAGACUCCUACGGGAGGCAGCAGUAGGGAAUCUUCCGCAAAGGGCGAAAGCCUGACGGAGCAACGCCGCGUGAGUGAUGAAGGUCUUCGGAUCGUAAAACUCUGUUAUUAGGGAAGAACAAACGUGUAAGUAACUGUGCACGUCUUGACGGUACCUAAUCAGAAAGCCACGGCUAACUACGUG
rnacentral:rRNA from 1 species